rnacentral:lncRNA from 1 species
UUUUCACAUUUUUUUCCUCUAGAAUUCUUUAAAAAUAUGAUAGAAAAACUGAAUAUAGAUCAGAAACUCCAUUGCAUUAAAACCAGGAAGAAUUAAUAGGGAAGAGUUUCCUUUCUUAAUCAAAAAGCUUUCAGUCCUGUUAGAAGCACUUGAAAACCCUUACCAUCAAGAAGGGCAUGAAAUCUCAAGUGUUCCUGGAGGAUAUUUUAGCACUCCAAAGGAGAAAGUAAGUCUGACUACAUUUUUAUGUUCCCUCUGUCCUUAAGUCUCCAGGGGCUUGAGGAUGGCUGCUGAUGAACCAGCUUCACUGCUUACCCUUGGAUCAAUCAUGUUUGCUUAAAGCCAAGGCACCAAAGAAAGCCGAGGAAGAUUGUACUCAAGUCAUCUGUUUUUAAUUACAUU